AGUGAACGCUGGCGGUAGGCCUAACACAUGCAAGUCGAACGGCAGCACAGUAAGAGCUUGCUCUUACGGGUGGCGAGUGGCGGACGGGUGAGGAAUACAUCGGAAUCUACUUUUUCGUGGGGGAUAACGUAGGGAAACUUACGCUAAUACCGCAUACGACCUACGGGUGAAAGCAGGGGAUCUUCGGACCUUGCGCGAUUGAAUGAGCCGAUGUCGGAUUAGCUAGUUGGGGGGGUAAAGGCCCACCAAGGCGACGAUACGUAGCUGGUCUGAGAGGAUGAUCAGCCACACUGGAACUGAGACACGGUCCAGACUCCUACGGGAGGCAGCAGUGGGGAAUAUUGGACAAUGGGCGCAAGCCUGAUCCAGCCAUACCGCGUGAGUGAAGAAGGCCUUCGGGUUGUAAAGCCCUUUUGUUGGGAAAGAAAAGCAGCAGGUUUAUACCCCGCUGUUCUGACGGUACCCAAAGAAUAAGCACCGGCUAACUUCGUG
rnacentral:rRNA from 1 species